rnacentral:rRNA from 1 species
UCUGCAACUCGACUCCAUGAAGCUGGAUUCGCUAGUAAUCGCGCAUCAGCCAUGCCGCGGUGAAUACGUUCCCGGGCCUUGUACACACCGCCCGUCACACCAUGAGAGUUUGUAACACCCAAAGCCGGUGGGGUAACCUUUUGGAGCCAGCCGUCUAAGGUGGGACAGAUGAUUGGGGUGAAGUCGUAACAAGGUAAC